rnacentral:rRNA from 1 species
UAGCAUAUCAAUAAGCGGAGGAAAAGAAACCAACAGGGAUUGCCUUAGUAACGGCGAGUGAAGCGGCAACAGCUCAAAUUUGAAAGCUGGCCCUUUUAGGGUCCGCGUUGUAAUUUGUAGAGGAUGAUUCGGCGAGGGCUCCCGCCUAAGUCCCCUGGAACGGGGCGUCAUAGAGGGUGAGAAUCCCGUAUGCGGUGGGCUGCCUUAGCCAUGUGAAUCUCCUUCGACGAGUCGAGUUGUUUGGGAAUGCAGCUCUAAAUGGGAGGUAAAUUUCUUCUAAAGCUAAAUACCGGCCAGAGACCGAUAGCGCACAAGUAGAGUGAUCGAAAGAUGAAAAGCACUUUGGAAAGAGAGUUAAAAAGUACGUGAAAUUGUUGAAAGGGAAGCGCUUGCAACCAGACUUGUCCGCAGUUGCUCAGCCGGUCUCCUGACCGGCGUACUCUUCUGCGGCCAGGCCAGCAUCAGUUCGGGCGGUCGGAUAAAGACCUCGGGAAUGUAGCUCCUCUCGGGGAGUGUUAUAGCCCGGGGUGGAAUGCGGCCAGCCUGGACUGAGGAUCUCGCUUCGGCAAGGAUGCUGGCGUAAUGGUUGUAAGCGGCCCGUCUUGAAACACGGACCAAGGAGUCUAACAUCUAUGCGAGUGUUUGGGUGUCAAACCCAUACGCGUAAUGAAAGUGAACGGAGGUGGGAACCCGCAAGGGCGCACCAUCGGCCGAUCCUGAUGUCUUCGGAUGGAUUUGAGCAAGAGCAUAGCUGUUGGGACCCGAAAGAUGGUGAACUAUGCCUGAAUAGGGUGAAGCCAGAGGAAACUCUGGUGGAGGCUCGCAGCGGUUCUGACGUGCAAAUCGAUCGUCAAAUUUGGGUAUAGGGGCGAAAGACUAAUCGAACCAUCUAGUAGCUGGUUCCUGCGA